UACGAAGGGUGCAAGCGUUAAUCGGAAUUACUGGGCGUAAAGCGCGCGUAGGUGGUUCGUUAAGUUGGAUGUGAAAGCCCCGGGCUCAACCUGGGAACUGCAUCCAAAACUGGCGAGCUAGAGUAUGGCAGAGGGUGGUGGAAGUUCCUGUGUAGCGGUGAAAGGCGGAGAUAGAGGAAGGAACAACAGUGGCGAAGGCGACCACAUGGGCUAAUACUGACACGGAGGUGCGAAAGCGUGGGGAGCAAACAGGAUUAGAUACCACUGGAGUCC
rnacentral:rRNA from 1 species